CAAUAGCGUAUAUUAAAGUUGUUGCGGUUAAAAAGCUCGUAGUUGGAGUUCUGCCAGGUGCCGCCUGUCCGCCCCAGUGGUGAGUACGUGGCGCGCAUUUGGCCCUUUCAAGGGGAGCGUAUCUGCACUUUAUUGUGUGGUGCGGGAUCCUUGACUUUUACUUUGAGGAAAUAGGAGUGUUCCAAGCAGGCUCUCGUCGUGCACAGCUCAGCAUGGAAUAAUAGCAUUGGACCUCGAUUCUAAGCUGUUGGUUGCCAGAAGCGAGGUAAUGAUGAAGAGGGAUAGUUGGGGGCAUUCGUAUUUAACUGCCAGAGGUGAAAUUCUUGGAUUUGUUAAAGACGGACUACUGCGAAAGCAUCUGCCAUGGAUGUUUUCAUUGA
rnacentral:rRNA from 1 species